AGGGUUGUUUGAAAGGAAAGGAUUGCAGGACGGGAAAGAUGAGGUUUUGGUGGUCUGGUGGUAUAAAGUUGGGGUGGUUUGGGGUUGGGUCGCUGGUGACGGUGGUUCAGACGACCGUUCUUUUGAAUAUUUGAGACGGAGGAGGGUUGUUCGAAUGAAGCUGAUUGUAGGACGGGGAAGAGGAGGUUUUGGUGGUCUAGUGGUGUAAAGAUGGGGUGGUUUGGUGGCCGCCUCCACCGUAAGGCGAUUUCCGGCGACGGUGUAGGGUGGCUGCUGGGUGGUCAAGGGUGGUCAUAAGGCGGUCAAUGGUGGUCAUACACCGGAGUAUUUU
rnacentral:lncRNA from 1 species